UAGCAGCUGCAUGGCUGAGGGUUGUUUUGGUCAUGUCACUCUCAAGGCUUAUCUUCUUAAGCCCCUGGUGAUCGACCCCUCAGCUUGUUCUUAUCAAGUUUGAGUGGAGAAACAGGCUAUGAGCAUUCCUCUUUCUCUCUCUAGGUUUUUCUCCAUUUUUGAAGUGGAAAGAAUAGAUUGAGCUUGUUUCUUUCCCUUCUUGAUGCUAGCUGAGUUGGAGGGCUUUGGACCAGCUGUGGAAGGUUAGAAAAAGGAGUUUCACAGGUGUCUCUCUGUUCUAACUCAGCAAAUAACUGAGUUGAAACUUGGUGAGCAGGUUUUGGAUCCUUUUGGGCUGAGAAUUGUGAGCUUUAGAAGGUUGGUUGUGAUGUAUUCCAACCUGAUUUGAAGUGGAAUUCAAGUUGGAUUCCAUUCUAUGGUAUUUGAAGGCCGGUGAAUAUAUUCGCUUGCAGGAUCGACAAGAGUUGACGGCGAUUCGAGCCUUCCAUAACGGGAAAGGCUAGGGUUCCUGGUGAGAGGUCAGCGAUUAGCUAGAGCAUUCUCAAUGUUAAAUAGAUGAACCUCUACAAGUUUAUUUUAGUUUAGUUCUGAGAUGUAUAUUGGGACUGUUUAGAAUGUACUUUAUACUCAUACGCUGUAAUAAGGUUUUGUGUUGUAUAAGCUUUUAAACUUUUAGUUUUGCUCUGACUA